AUGCUGAGAAGAUCUUGUGCCAAUCAUUAAGACCUCUAGUCAUGUCUGAGUGCCAUUUCGUUUGGUGUAUCCGCACUUGUAUCUCUUGCCCAAGUCUCACUGACUUGGAACUUAAUGACAAUGCGGGUUUGACUCCUUUCCUUGAGAGCAUGCCAUCGUUGGUAACGGCCUCCGUCUGGUUUGAUGGAGAUUGGGCUGAUCGUGAAUAUCGUUAUGAUCAUUGUUUUGAUAGUUACUAUGGGGGCUGUGAUGACGGGUCUUGUCUUGCCUGCCAUAUCAUCAACCUUGAAGGUGAUGGUUGUGUGUUUCUAGAAGGACUGUGCGGCGCUACAAACUUGAAGUUGACGAGUGCUCCUGAAAUGUUUAUUUGCAGAAGGGAUUUUAAAUGGCGCCAUACGUUUAGCAAGUUAAAAACAUUGUUACUUAAUGAGUGGUGUCUGGUUGCUGACUUCAGUGGAUUGGUAUACUUUCUUCGAUACUCACCAAUUCUAGAGAGGCUUAGGGGCUGUUUGGUUGCUGUCCUGAAGCCCAUGUGCCUGGCCUGAAGACUCCCUGGAAGCUGCCUGUAAAUUGUUUGCUUAGCACCCUGAACAGCAGCCUGGCUCAGGCCACCAAAACUGAGCGCCUGAGCGUGGCUUCAGUUUUGAAGAAACAUGCCUGAGGUUCUACUCACAUUUAUUACCGUCAGGCACAAAGCUCUGAAGCAGUCCAAACCAAACAACAAUUUUCUUCCAAGCCUAACCAGGCAAUAGUUAACAGAUUCUCAGGCAACCUUCAGGCAUCAUAUUUUUUCAGGCACGAUACUCAGCAACAAUCGAUCAACGAAAGCUACAAGCCGAGAAAACAAUUCUCGGUAUCGAAGAAUCUCAAAGCAGUUGAAAUCAAGUGUCAAAAGGAAGAUGAAAGGAUUCACCAAAUUACAAAGAUCCUUAUCAGCCUUGGAGUACCUGCUCAGCAUAUUAACAUCCAACAUAGACUUGUGGCAUUUUAAUUGCUUCAGUUUCGAGCAGGGGUAGCUUCAGCUGGUAUACUGUUUCUUCGUUUUACAGAUUUUACGCCCCUGAAUCUGGUCUGGGAUCACUAAGUUCUGUUGAUCAGGAUUGUCUGCCUACCCCUGUCCGGUUUGUAUGAAAUUUUGUAUAAUAUGGUAUGCAACUCGAGUAGGUUUAAAUGUCACCCUAGUCCCUGUUGCACCGCUGCUCAUUUUCCUGAACCCAGUGCAAGGCCUGAGCUGAUCUCGCGCUAAAGAACUUGGCAAUUGGCAUGGGCAUCCACGUGAUUGAUGUUAUGUUUCCCAUGUAAGAAAAUAAAGCAGGUGUAGUCUGGUCAGCGGCUGGCUAGUAGCUUGUUGACAAUGCAUACAUGUACUAUGUAUAGAUGCAUGUUUGGCACAUCUUGACGUAAGUGAUCUAUUUUGCUCUUCGGUGUCUAGCUCAACGAGGCAACAUUAACUGGUAUCUUUUCUUUUC